GACGAACGCUGGCGGCGUGGAUUAGGCAUGCAAGUCGAACGGUAGAGUGCUUUCGGGCACUUGAGAGUGGCGAACGGGUGAGUAACACGUAGGUUAUCUACCCUCAAAUUGGGGACAACCCAGGGAAACUUGGGCUAAUACCGAAUGAGUGCAUCAGCGAUGAUGCAUAAAAGAUGGCGUAAGCUGUUGUUUGAGGAUGAGCCUGCGCUCUAUUAGUUAGUUGGUGAGGUAACGGCUUACCAAGGCGAUGAUAGAUAGGCGGCCUUAACGGGUGGUCGCCCACACUGGGAUUGAGAUACGGCCCAGACUCCUACGGGUGGCAG
rnacentral:rRNA from 1 species